GGAAACAGGAAGCUGGCUGCGUUGCUGCUUUGCAGACUUGUUGCUUGUGAGUAGUAAUGGUACAACAUGUUUACAAGUUUAGUUAACUUCUAAACAAAUCUGUGUGAUAGAAAUGCACUAUUUAUUCUAUCUGCAGUCUUAUUCUAUACAGAAAGUUAAGCUAAGUAUUUGAUCAUAGUCUUGGGCCCCUUCCUAAUGCUUAAUUGGCUUUUUUUCAUUUUCACUCUUCAUUCAAAGGCCCCAUAUCUACUCAUAAUGCAAUAUUAUAGGUUUGUGAGAUUUUGAUCAAUUUGAGGUGUUAAGUGUGAGCUGUGAACAUCUGGAGUUGCUUGCUGCUGGCAUUUUACCAUUGUGCAAACAGCGGGGAUUCUUUUAUUUCAGACACCUCCACCAGCAAAACCGUUCUGGGUAACUGAUGCUUUCCACACGCCUUCAAAUUCUCCAGCUAAAAAGAUGGCCAGGACACCUCUACUAUUGUAACACAUCUGGAAAUUGGGUGAAGCACCAUCCUGCACCCAUUUUCUUUCUGGAAAGGUAUUUCUGAAUAUCUGACUGUUUCCAUCUGCUUCUCUCUGUGUCGCUCUCAGAGGUGGCAAAUUACAGACACUGUGUACUUUAGUGCA